UACAAGAAGAUUGACCUAGAUUG
rnacentral:siRNA from 1 species